rnacentral:lncRNA from 10 species
CUGAGGUAGAGACAUUGAGGUUUCUGAAGUCAGACAUACUUUGGGAAAUUAUUUAUCUUUUUCUACAUCUCAUUUUUUUCAUCUCUAAAAUGGAUAAAACAAUUAUUACUCCAUGAUGUUGCUGUGAGGGGUCAUGACAGAAUGACUGUAAAAUGUACCAAAUGAUAUAUUUCAUUAGUCUGGUUGCAUUGACAUCUACAGACUCUUUUAUACUCAAAACUGUAUGAGGCCACCACCAAUGGAAAGUGGUAAAAUCUAGCGCGGCAGUCCCAGAACUACAAAUAGCUCACUGGAGAUAAGAUGACAACCAAGAUUCUUCUAAGGCUGGCUGUCCAGGCCUGACAGUCUCCCUGAAGGCAAUGAAGAAGCCAUCUGUAUUUCCAGUGAUUUGAUAAAUUCCACUGUUAGAAAUUAAAACUGACAAUAAGAAUUUUAAGAGAUGCCCAGUUAAAAUACCCUAAAGGAAUAGUACCUAGCCCAGGAAUCAUGACUAUGAGAACUGCAUAAUAUUUUUCUGGAAGCAUGUAGCGUCUCCCUUUGUUUGUCUGUCUUGUAAUCCCAUACCUUUAAUGUAAAGGGAUUGGAUGCUUAUCUUCAAAGGUGAUUAGAGUCAGGAGGUUGAAGACGCCAUGUCCCACUGUAUAGGCUAUCUUCUAGAGAAAAGAACUCCAGGGUAAGAGGUGUCUGGUGCCUCCUUCUACAAGUAGAGGAAAGCAUGUGUCCCCGGGCCUGCAUCAAAGGAGAAAAGAAAAGCAUCUCAAGCACAUUCAGGCUAGAGGCAUGACUACCUCCUCUGAAGGCUUUAGAGACCAUGCUCCCCAACACGAUGCCUUCUCUUGCCCCUGGUGGCUGCGGUAAUGUUACACUCUCUCAGCUCAGUCUUAAGCUGUGCUGGGUGAAGGACAGACAUUCCUUGUGCAAUGGACUGCGCCUCUCACUCUGCCCAUGGGUUCCUCACCUCUGCAGCCUGCAGAGAUGCAGUCAUCAUUGUAAGAGAUCACAUUCUGCAAAUGCAGAGAUUCCAACCUGAAGAGGUGAAGAAAAGACACAUUUGGGAGAUGUGUUGUUCUACAUUUAUACCAUAAAUUGAAGAAUAGGUGGUUUAAAGCUACAAGAAAAUAAUCAUUUGCAUGUUUCUACAUAGUCUGGGUAAGUCUAGCAUACAGAGUCACCACCAAGGAAGCAUAGUAACAAUCUCUGAGAGAGUCAUUGGAAGCCAGUAUUCACUGAUGGCAAGGUAGAUAAAUGAUAUCGUAUCAUGAGUAAUGAUACAACCAGCAUUAAAAUAAAUGGUAUUAGGGUACUGCAGUGACGAGAAGAUCUAUACUGUUUCAAUACAAAAAGUUCUGAAGAGCCAUGUCAUUGUGAGUAAUAGCAGUGUUGCUGUAGUUUUCUUGCAUAGGAGAUACAAAAUUAGCCAAAAACAAUGCCAUUGAUAAUAAAGAACAUGAGAGAUGCCUGAACAUAUGCACUGACUGGACAGUAUAUAAAUAUAAAAUUGAAGAGAAAUAGAAGAUAAGAAGGGGGAAAAAACUACGGUAAAACGCAAGACAAAAAAUGAAAACAGAGGAUGUAGUAUUUGGAACAAAUCCUUUCUACCAAGUAUUAAUGAAUUCCCACACCAUGAGAAAUGUGCUUAAGCCCAAUUCUAACAUGUCUAAUUUAGGUGCUAAUAAAUAAUUAUUUGCUUUAAUAUACUCCUUUCUUGCAAAAGUUUUAUGUAGUAAUAAUAAUAAUACUAAUAAGUUGCUAACAUGUACUGAAUGCAUACCGUGUGCUUGGCAUUGCUGUUUCACAUAUAUUAACUUAUUCUUCACAACCACCCUAUGAGGUAGAUACUAUUUUAUUAUCCCCAUUUUAUAGAUGAGGAACUGAGACACUGAUAAAUGAAGUAAUUUUCCUCUUGUCCCAAACCACUAGGAAAGAGUAAAUCUAAGAUUCUUCCUUUCAUCUUCAUAAUCCCUUCAGGUAGAUAAGAGUAUCCCCACCUUACAAGUGAGGCUCACUGAAGCCAUGUGAUUAGCCCAAGGCAUCAAAUAACAGCAGAUCUAGUAAGAGAAGAAGGAGGAUUGGGACUGGGUCUCUCCACACAUCUGACAGGUUGUCUCCCAGAAAGUGGGGCCAUGGCCAUCCCUCAUUCCGUGAAGUAUUCCUUCAGAGGAGUCUUAACUGAGUUCCUGGAAAACUCAAUCGCGAACAGUGAAAAGAGAUCUAUUCUGGAUAAUUUUGGUCUGGAAUACAUUUCCAGUCACUUUGAUCUGAUAAAUAUCAGACAAGACUCAGAAAUACUAAUAUACACUUAUUAAGAAUUCAAUCAACUAAAAAUCCCAACCUAUAGAAAGUUUUGUUUACAUACUAUUGUUAUAAAACCCAAAUCACAAGGAAAGAUGCUGAUUAAAGAAACUUGUCUUCAAACCAACUUUUGUUCUUAUAUCUUCUUUAGUAUGUCCUAUGUUACUUUUGCCCUUGACCUUCACUUUUAGUUGUAUUAAAUGAAAAGCAGACUUGGAAGAUUCUUCUAAAUCAGUGAUAACCAAUACAUAACCAGUGGCCACCACCCUCCUCUUGUGUCUGUGGCAGAUAUAAAUUGCUCACAAGCUCUUUCAUUCUGAUCCAUAAGAAUCUAUCUCAGCACCAUACUCCCAGCAGCCCUUACCAAUCAAAAACAAUUGGUAAGCAUGUUAAAACCUACUUGUAACCUUUAUUCUAGAGAUGUUUAGUAUCUGUCUCCUCU